UUUCCAGCCGCCGCGGUAAUACGGAGGGUGCAAGCGUUGCUCGGAAUCACUGGGCGUAAAGCGACCGCAGGCGGCCUGACAAGUCGGAUGUGAAAGCCCUGGGCUCAACUCAGGAACUGCAUUCGAAACUGGUAGGCUCGAGUACGGGAGAGGGGGGUGGAAUUCCUGGUGUAGGGGUGAAAUUCGUUGAUAUCAGGAGGAACACCGGCGGCGAAGGCGGCCCCCUGGCCCGCAACUGACGCUCAUGGUCGAAAGCGUGGGGAGCAAACAGGAUUAGAAACCCCUGUAGUCC
rnacentral:rRNA from 1 species